rnacentral:lncRNA from 1 species
AAAAAUCUUCAAUAAAGAUAUUUGAAUUAAUUAAACCAAAUUUUGUAACACUCCAUGUCAAUUGUCUAGAAUAUUGACAGGGAUAACAUAAUGGAAUCCGAAUACAGUAAAAUUACAGAGUAAAUUGUUCGGAAAAUUCAUAAAUACAUAAAUCCAUCAUUAGGUACAAGAAAUGAAUUUCCAUUACACAACGGAGAUAAUCCGGUGAAAUACACAUAACAGAUUAAUCUAACUAACAUGGCAGAAGCUAAUAGCAUAUAUCAUCUAUCAUCUUCAAUCCUCAGCUUCUUCUUAC